GAUGAACGCUGGCGGCGUGCCUAAUACAUGCAAGUCGAGCGAACAGACGAGGAGCUUGCUCCUUUGACGUUAGCGGCGGACGGGUGAGUAACACGUGGGUAACCUACCUAUAAGACUGGGAUAACUUCGGGAAACCGGAGCUAAUACCGGAUAAUAUUUCGAACCGCAUGGUUCGAUAGUGAAUGAUGGCUCUGCUAUCACUAAGAGAUGGACCUGCGCCGUAUUAGCUAGUUGGUAAGGUAACGGCUUACCAAGGCAACGAUACGUAGCCGACCUGAGAGGGUGAUCGGCCACACUGGAACUGAGACACGGUCCAGACUCCUACGGGAGGCAGCAGUAGGGAAUCUUCCGCAAUGGGCGAAAGCCUGACGCAGCAACGCCGCGUGAGUGAUGAAGGUCUUCGGAUCGUAAAACUCUGUUAUUAGGGAAGAACAACCGUGUAAGUAACUGUGCACGUCUUGACGGUACCUAAUCAGAAAGCCACGGCUAACUACGUG
rnacentral:rRNA from 1 species